CCCGCUGAACUUAAGCAUAUCAAUAAGCGGAGGAAAAGAAACCAACAGGGAUUGCCUCAGUAACGGCGAGUGAAGCGGCAAGAGCUCAAAUUUGAAAGCUGGCCCCCUCGGGGUCCGCAUUGUAAUUUGCAGAGGAUGCUUCGGGAGCGGCCCCCAUCUAAGUGCCCUGGAACGGGCCGUCAUAGAGGGUGAGAAUCCCGUCUGGGAUGGGGUGUCCGCGCCCGUGUGAAGCUCCUUCGACGAGUCGAGUUGUUUGGGAAUGCAGCUCUAAAUGGGUGGUAAAUUUCAUCUAAAGCUAAAUACUGGCCGGAGACCGAUAGCGCACAAGUAGAGUGAUCGAAAGAUGAAAAGCACUUUGAAAAGAGAGUUAAACAGCACGUGAAAUUGUUGAAAGGGAAGCGCUUGCGACCAGACUCGCUCGCGGGGUUCAGCCGGCAUUCGUGCCGGUGUACUUCCCCGCGGGCGGGCCAGCGUCGGUUUGGGCGGCCGGUCAAAGGCCCUCGGAAUGUAACGCCCCCCGGGGCGUCUUAUAGCCGAGGGUGCCAUGCGGCCAGCCCGGACCGAGGAACGCGCUUCGGCUCGGACGCUGGCAUAAUGGUCGUAAGCGACCCGUCUUGAAACACGG
rnacentral:rRNA from 1 species